ACUUGUUACAGUAUAAAGCUAGCAAAAAGGUUGGAUAACUAAGGCAUACAAUUUAACACGUGACAUGUUGACGUGGCUAGAUGUUGUGAAGGUUUUUCUUCAGCAGAGAGAUAAUUUUGUGAUCAUCCACUAGCUGUCUUCAGUGGUCAUCCAUGUCUUUUGGUGUGGAUAAGUUCACAUUCUUUUCAGAAUGUACCAGAUUGUUGCUUUAGCGACUUCUGAUGUUUAUGGUAUCUCUGAUAACUAUUUUCCAGCCUUAUGAUGGCCUGCAUUACAUCACACCAACACCUUCCAAUGCAAGUUACAUGUUUGGAAUAAACUCCAGAUCUUUGAAAAGCUGAAUUGUUAAUUCAACAAUGAGGGAACAGCCCACACCCGGCCAGGAAACAGCUGGACUGUAUGUGUCUGUACGUGAGUGUGUAAAUAUGUUAGUGUGUUAGAAAGAAAAUUGUUUAUGUGAUGGUUAGAAAAACAUUCCCUCAGAUUUAGGACAGUCAAAGAGGUGCAGCAGCUGCAAUGGGCCUGGGCAGGCAGGCACAUGCA